CACAUCCCACAAGACCCUGACAGAGAUGGUUGUGGUCUUCUUCGGGAAAUGUGACCCAGGUGCUGCAUGACUGUCGUCAGCCUUGUUUUGUGAAAUGAUUGGUUUAAGUCCCGCAAGGAGCGAAACCCUUAUCUUUUGUUGCCAGCGGUACGGCCGGGAACUCAAAGGAGACUGCCCAGUGAUAAACUGGAGGAAGGUGGGGAUGACGUCAAGUCAUCAUGGCCCUUACGACCAGGGCUACACACGUGCUACAAUGGCCGCAUACAGAGAGAAGCGACCUCGCGAGAGCAAGCGGACCUCAUAAAGUGCG
rnacentral:rRNA from 1 species